rnacentral:rRNA from 1 species
AUUGAACGCUGGCGGCAGGCCUAACACAUGCAAGUCGAACGAGUGGCGGACGGGUGAGUAAUGCCUGGGCAACUGCCCGAUGGAGGGGGGUAACUACUGGAAACGGUAGCUAAUACCGCAUACCCUCGGAUGUGCCCAGAUGGGAUUAGCUAGUGGGGGGGGUAACGGCUCCCCGAGGCGACGAUCCCUAGCUGGGCUGAGAGGAUGACCGGCCACACUGGAACGGAGACACGGUCCAGACUCCUACGGGAGGAAGCAGGGGGGAUGUUUGCACAAUGGGCGCAAGCCGGAUGCAGCCAUGCCGCGUGUAUGAAGAAGGCCUUGGGGUUGUAAAGUACGUUCAGCGGGGAGGCGUUACUCGCAGAAGAAGCACCGGCUAACUCCGUGCCAGCCGCCGCGGUAAUAC